GAUUCAUACAACAGGGGUUACCCGGCGAUUGAGUUGGAAGCCGUGGAAUUGAUUUUGGAGGAAAUUCUGUCCUUACAUUGAUGGAGCCAAAGCAAGAAUUUUUACCGAAAACAGCUGUGAGAGAGAAGAAUGGCAAAAUACCAGAUUGUCCUUCACGAUAGUCUAUAGACCUGGUAAAGCUAACGCCAUGUUAAAAAAUUCUCUCGCAAUAAUUUUGUUGUACGUUUACAUGGAGGUCCCGCCGGAGGGAGAACUUCUUCUGCCGCGAAGCUGAAUAUUUCCUGAGAAAUCAAAAGAUCUGUUUUAAAUUAUGUAUUUGAAUAAAUUAUUUUUAUUUGACAAGCUUUUCUGACAUUUUUUUUUCAGAAAAUUUUCAGAUAAAUUCCGAGAAAAAAGUUAGAGAGCAUUUCGACAAUUUUUAGCAUUUUUUCAUUCAUUUUCAGACAAUCAUAGGCACUUUUUUUUUAGUAAACUGGUAGUUUGGGCCCGGUGGAAUGGGUAAAAUUGAGUUUCUUAAGAUCGUUGUGGCACAGGCCCAACUAUUAGGUUGGUCGAAAAGUCUUUGCAAAAUUUUUUACUUUUCUUCAUUUCUCAGCGUUAAUUCAUUUUUUUCUGAUUCUGUUUUUUUAUUUGCAUAGUACGUAAUGUGCAUGUUUAAUAUAUUUAAAAAAAACUUUUGGGUGCUGUUCAAAAUGACCGAGAAUUUGCUCGCCGAACGUCACGCCCUCCGAUGGGUUUUUCUGUACGAGUUCCCCCAAAUCUGCAAUUGCAACGAAGCUCGUCGUAACAUGUGUGCAGUGUUAGGCAAGAACUCUGUCACCUAUAAUACCAUGAAGUUUUGGUUCGAAAAGUUCACGAAAAAGAACUACGAUCUCGAUGAUAAACCAAGAUAAGAUCGCUCUCGUUUGAAUAUCGACGAGGAUAUUUCGAGAGCCCUGGAAGAUGAUCCAAGAGCAACGAACCGCGAACUUUCUGCGACUCUCAAGCAUCCCCAAAAAACCAUCAUCAACCAUCUCCACGAAACCGGAAGGGUAGAAAAGUUCGGUCAACUCGUUCCUCACAAUUUGCCCGAUUCUCAGAAAAAUUGUUUUGUGACCUCUCUCUUUCGCUGCUCACUAGGAAACGAACAACGGACUGGGUUAAAGAUAUCAUUACUGGAAAUGAUAAAUGGGUAUUGUAUGUUAGCCAUACCAGGAAAAAAGAGUGGGUCCCGGUCGAGGAAACCGCGACACCUGACCUCAAAUUAGAACUUCACGGAAAAAAGUGCUUCUCUCAAUUGGGCGGGACAGUAAGGGUGUCAUUUCCAGAGAGCUUCUUCCAGACUUUGCUACAAUCAACGCUGGCCUAUACUGCAUUUAAUUGGAAAAGAUGGUCCAUGCUCAUCGAUUACAUCGCCCUAGAGGAUCAAAGUUGUUGCUGCUCCAUGACAACGCAAGACCGCAUACAACUUUUAAGACCCGCCAGAAGCUCCAGACAGUCGGAAUCCAAAUUUUAUCUUACCCAUCGUAUUCGCCGGGCUUGGCUCCUACUGACUACCAUCUGUUCCGCUCACUCCAGAAUCACCUUGCCGGGCAGAAGUUUCAUGAUCGAAAGGUCGUCGAAACGGGGUUGGACGACUUCUUUGCCUCCUAAUCGCAGGAGUUCUAGGCGGAGGGUACUGUUCAACUUCCGUUGUGUUGGCAAGAAGUCAUAGGCAUUAAUGGUAAAUAUAUUACCCAUUGAAUCUUGUUCGCUUUGAAAAAAUACUACUUCCAAAAAAAAAUCAAAAUUUUGCAAAGACUUUUCGACCAACCUAAUAUUCUAGCCUAUUAAAUUAGAGUAGACUAGGGCUUGGGGAACCUGUGCGGUCAUGCGGGGUGUUCAAUUAAAUCUGUAGCGUUCUUUCCAUGUCCUACACUUGCCAUCUGUCUUUUUUACCACACAUGUUUGACCCCAGUGUCUGCGUUCUCCACUAUCUCCUCGUCGACCCGCUGUUCCCUUCUCCCCUCAUUCUGCCUACUAGACAGCCUACGGAAUGGUUGUCCCUUCUCUUUUUUAUUGAUUUAUAUUAACUUCAAUUUUUGCAACUUUUGAGAGAUGAAAAGG
rnacentral:sRNA from 1 species